UAGAUAUCCUACCUAUAGGUUAUUUCUGCACUUCCGCACUCUCAUAUAGAUACUAUGUCUACAGGAUUUCUGCAUUUUGCACUUCUCAUAUAGAUAUGAUUUCUAUAAUUACCUAAAACUCUGAAUUUUGCAUAUGCAUAUAGAAAAAUGGCUAUAGGUCUUGCCAAUCUUACAUAUCCAUCCCUUUUUAGGAAAUCAUAUGUGUAGGUCUUAAAUAACCAACCUUGAUUAGAUAUCAUGUUCGUAGGUCUUUUAAACAAAAUUCAGCACCUAGAUAUCAUGUUUAUAGGGUUUCUACAUUUUACUAUG
rnacentral:lncRNA from 1 species